UACAGAGGGGGCUAGCGUUGUUCGGAAUUACUGGGCGUAAAGGGCGCGUAGGCGGCCCUCUAAGUCGAACGUGAAAGCCCCGGGCUUAACCUGGGAACUGCGCUCGAAACGGGAUGACUAGAGAUCGGGAGAGGAGAGUGGAAUUCCCAGUGUAGAGGUGAAAUUCGUAGAUAUCAGGAGGAACACCGGUGGCGAAGGCGCACAUCUGGCCCGAUACUGACGCUGAGGCGCGAAAGCUAGGGGAGCAAACGGG
rnacentral:rRNA from 1 species